AGUCGAACGGAAAGGCUCCUUCGGGGGUACUCGAGUGGCGAACGGGUGAGUAACACGUGGGUGAUCUGCCCUGGACUUCGGGAUAAGCCUGGGAAACUGGGUCUAAUACCGGAUAUUCAUCUCCUGUUUCAUGGUGGGGGGUGGAAAGCUUUUGCGGUUCAGGAUGGGCCCGCGGCCUAUCAGCUUGUUGGUGCGGUAAUGGCGUACCAAGGCGACGACGGGUAGCCGACCUGAGAGGGUGAUCGGCCACACUGGGACUGAGACACGGCCCAGACUCCUACGGGAGGCAGCAGUGGGGAAUAUUGCACAAUGGGCGCAAGCCUGAUGCAGCGACGCCGCGUGGGGGAUGACGGCCUUCGGGUUGUAAACUCCUUUCGCCAGGGACGAAGCGCAAGUGACGGUACCUGGAGAAGAAGCACCGGCCAACUACGUGCCA
rnacentral:rRNA from 1 species